rnacentral:rRNA from 1 species
UUAACGGGAAGACCCUUACCUACUCUUGACAUCUUGCGAACUUGGUAGAGAUACCUUGGUCCCUUCGGGAACGCAGAGCCAGGUGCUGCAUGGCUGUCGUCAGCUCGUGUUGUGAAAUGUUGGGUUAAUUCCGGUAAGGAGCGCAACCCUUGUCCUUAGUUGCCAUCAUUUAGUUGGGGACUCUAAGGAGACUGCCGGUGACAAACCGGAGGAAGGCGGGGACGACGUCAAGUCAUCAUGGCCCUUACGAGUAGGGCUACACACGUGCUACAAUGGCAAGUACAGAGGGCCGCAAAGCCGCGAGGUGGAGCUAAUCUCACAAAGCUUGUCGUAGUCCGGAUUGGAGUCUGCAACUCGACUCCAUGAAGUCGGAAUCGCUAGUAAUCGUGAAUCAGAAUGUCACGGUGAAUACGUUCCCG